UUUGUCGGAGAGUUUGAUCCUGGCUCAGGACAAACGCUGGCGGCGUGCAUAAAACAUGCAAGUCGAACGGACCAAUCCCCGCAAGGGGUGAGGUUAGUGGCGAACGGCUGAGUAACACGUAGGUGACCUGCCCCGAAGUGGGGGACAACUCGCCGAAAGGCGAGCUAAUACCGCAUGUGACCACCGGUUCGUUCCGGUGCUCAAAGCAGUAAUGCGCUUCGGGAGGGGCCUGCGGCGGAUUAGCUAGUUGGUGGGGUAAUGGCCUACCAAGGCUUCGAUCCGUAGCUGGUCUGAGAGGAUGACCAGCCAGACUGGGACUGAGACACGGCCCAGACUCCUACGGGAGGCAGCAGUUAGGAAUUUUGUGCAAUGGGGGAAACCCUGACACAGCCACGCCGCGUG
rnacentral:rRNA from 1 species